CUGGACCUUCUCCAGAAGUGUAGAAACAAGUUCAGCCAGACAUUACUGAGAAGCAAUCCAGAAAUAUCCUGUGGACAGAAGGGGCAAAGGCAAUGUUACUGUUUGGGUAGUUUGGGCUCGUUCCCAUCUGCUGUCAAGCUCUCAGAGCACUUUGGAGGUCACACCAUUUCUGCAAGGAGAACUGAAACGGAGACUGAAAGACAGAGACCAGAGGCAGAACCCAGGCUGGGCUCGCACCUGGUUUAGUUUCUGUUCUCUCUAAGGAGUGAUUGGGAAAUGCUCUUGUGGUAAGGCCAUAAAUAACUCAGUGCCAACACACCAGCUCUUGCCAUCUCCUGUUCAAGUCAGUGCAACCACGAAGAGCCGUUCAUCUCCAACUUUGAGCAAUACCUCACAGCAUUUGAUGCCUGUAUUUUAAUACCUUGUGGUUUUAGAUUGUAUGCUUUCGAUAACUGGAGGCUUUACUCAAGGGGUCAGGACCACAUAAGGAACACAGAAAGGGAGGCUGUUUGGUGUCUCCUCGCUCCCCCAUAAGAAGUAUCCAGCUCCCCAGUAGAAGUUAAAGUAAUGACAACAACAGAACUGGAAAUAACUUCAAAGUCAAACUGCUAUCUUGUGAAAGAUGAGGAAAAUGUUGCAAAGAAAAUAUCAAAGGCUCAAGAAGGAUUUUCCUAGGCACUUUGUCACAGAAGUCUUUACUACCCCCUGCAGAGACAAUCAAGACUAAUGGGAACAUUAGUACAGCAGAGGACUACAUAUCAAAAGAGUCCCUGGAGCAAAUAACACCAGUAACUAGAGCAUCACUGGCACCAUACUCCAAACCACCCCCCUCUGUCACAGAAAUGAGUAAAAUGGUCGUAAACAGCAGAGAGAAAAUUUUUGCCUGGUGACUGCAAAUAAGCACCCAGCAGAGCUGUUAAAAGUUGCUUGCUGAAGAGAAAAAUAUGAUUCUUCCAGUUUUAUGGGCCAUGUUCAGAUAGCUCUUACUCCUAUACCAUAAAUCCAAUUUUCACAUAGAUUAAACGGAAAGCCAUCACAGGCUCUGCUGAAUAAUGCACGGGAUUGUCAAGCUUCUGCUGCGUGAUGUGCACCGAAUCAAUCCUCUUCCACGCUCAGGUAUGGCUUUGCAGUGCAGUGGCUGCCAGCAAUAGUGCAACGCUUGCCACCUUGGGUGCUUGGCUUUACAGCAACACUGGCUGCUCUGAGCAUGAGAAAUGUCACAAAUGCCUUCACAGAUGUGCAUGUGGGGUCUGGGUUCGUACACAAACUCUUGUUUGGAUCAUUUACAUAGAUUUUAAAAAUUAAUAAAAAAAAAAAAAAGGUUAUGUUAGAGUUUAAGCUCAGAAGAGGUGGCUUGGGCAGUAUCUGACUCCUCUGGAAUAAUACUCGGAGGCAGCUGCAGCGGGGUCCAAGGGCAAGUGAGGAGGGAAGUAGAUAAAGCAUCUCACGUGUGGCAUUUGUCGUCACUUUAGAGAGUGUGUCUUUGUGCACCGAUGGCAGCAGCUUUCAAAAUGCCUGAGUUCACCUGUGGUGGCAAAGCUGGAGAUGCUUCCAGCAGCUGGUGGCUGUGCUUGUGGGGAGCUGUUGCUCUGCAAAAAAAAGCUUUUUCCAGGUGUAGCAUUAGGCACUGGUUCCUGUCUCAAAACUCACAGUGUCCUGAUUGGUCUCUCAAGUACUUUGAUGUUUACUGAUACCACCACAAGUGUGAAAAACAGAGCUUGAAUCUUACUGAUUUGCAAGAACUUGGGAAUAUUAUGAAUAUGAAGUAUGCUGUGCAGGGGAAGGUGGUGUCACAUAAAGUAUGCUGUGUGCCAUGAUUAAUGCUAAAUGAAGAUAAAUGCCACUGACUGUUAGGCAUUUCAAAUAAACAACCCCAGUUAGCAGAUGCAGCAAAAGGUACUCUGAGUUUGCUCCUCACUAUAUUUAGAUCAAAGGAAAAAAUCCACUCUUUAAGUAAACACUGCACGAUAUACGUAAGAUAUUGUAUCACAUAUGGGGCAGCACCUCAGUCACCCAGCUAUCAACAUUUGUGUAUUUUUCUCAAUUUUGUUUUUGUCCUGAAGGUCUUAUGGGUAUUUGAGAAAUGUGGUAGGCUCCCCAUGCAUGCAUCCUUUGACGGCCAAUGUGAGUCACUUCUCUGAAGGCAUGGUUCUACUAGCAUUGCAGUCAGUGUAAAUUUAAUCCUCCCCUGGUUCAACAGCAAUGGGGUUGGACUUGUCUGUUGUUCUGCAUUCCUGGCAUUAUUUGCUUCUGGUUUGCACACUUGUGUUUCUGUUAUGAUGGUAAGUUUGUGCCAAUUUGUUCUUGCACUGAUUGCUAAUGCUCUGUCAUGUUUUGCUGGGUGCAAGUACACUGGGGAGUAUUUGCCUGUAUACUUGUUUCAUCGUUGAAAAUGCUUUAAGAGAGGGCUUAAAAAAGGUCAUCUCUAUUUUUAUUAUUCACACCUAUAUGUUGAAAUUAAUCUUCUCAUACUAAUGUGAAGAACAAAACCCCAGGCACAUUAAAAUCAGUGGGUUUGGGGGGGUUCCUGCAGCUUCAUGUGAGCCAGGCUUUCACCCAGGAUUGCCGUACCCUUGUUCUUAAGCCAUUUCUACCAGUCAGUGUCUUUGAGGGAGCGAUACCUGGUUUAAACUUCUGAAAAUGCAACCAGGCCGACUCAGGGCAAGCAACCUUCUGCUAGAAAGCUUUGCAGAGAGAUCUGUUUAAAUGCCUGCUGUUCUGUGCCCUCCAGUUCAGCGCUGAAUACUAAACAUGUUUUGUUAAAAUGAGAGUGAGCUUGAAUGCUUUGGUCCCGAAUCUUAUGUGAAAAUGGGUAGCUAAAAAUAAAUGUAUAGAGAUUCCUGGAAGCAACACUGGGAUGUGGGUGGGAGAGAUGGGCAGGACGUUUCUGAGAUGUCAACUCUUUUCUCACUGUGUUGGGCUGAAAAAUAUAAAUUCUAAAAAUUUUCCUGAAACGGUAUUCAGCAUUACACAUUUGAGUUCCCAAUCAGAGCAUCACAUUUAGAUUUUAUCACACUGUAAUUUGUUCUGGGUUUGUCCUUGGAACUUCUUUAAACCAGAAUUGAGCAACAAUUUCUAAAAUGUAAAGGCACUUCAAAUCAGAAUUUUUUUCCCCAAAAAAUUAGAGAUGUGAGAGGCUCGUCAAAGCUAACUCUUCAUCACGCUAGUCAUCACUUACUGAGUUGAUAUUGCCUGAUAAUAAUUUUUUUUUCCUAAAAGUGAGUGGUGAAUGGAGAGCGCGUUAGCUAUGACUCGGUGCCCUACAUUUCCCAUCACUUACCUAAUCCCCAAGGAAGCACCUGCAGCAUAAGGUGUAAUUACAAAGGACUUGAAUAUCCGUGAUUGAGAUAAAGGCCAGGUCUACAUGUGAACACUUGCCAGACACAAAUGACUGCAUUCAUGGAGCAAGCACUUUGAUGAGUUCCUCGUGUCCUGGUGCAGGCAGCUCUGGACGUGCCUGUCUGUAUGAUUUUAUGCAGGUAACAAUGUCAGCUGGAUGUUGACAACAGGAAUCAAAUUUGUGUGAGGACACUUGCAGAAGGCUGUGUUUUAUCGCAGCAACAUAGACGAGGCACAGUGCUUCUGUAAAUGUUUUAUGCCAUCUAGAUUGCAUUUCAGUAUAGAGGCUAAAAAAAAAAAAAGUGCAGUAGUAAAAGCUGCUGUGGUCGUGCCACAGUUCUCCACCCCUGCUUCUGUGCCCUCUCAAGUUCUUCCCCUUCCCACCCAGUCCCAGAGCUGUCACCAGCCCAUUUCUCUCCUGAACAGAUUUAACUCUGUUUCUGUCUGUCAUCUCUGUCUCACUAUUAGGACCUCAGCUGCUUCCCUGCUAAUUGCAUCACCUUACAUGACAUAGGUAUUUUCAUAACUCCAGUAAAAGCUGCUCAUUAUUUUACAUGGUGAUUUCCAAUCUGUUGUCAGAUUAGUUCCUGGCAACCUGAGUGCAAGCCACUGAAGGCUGGAUAGCUUCAUACAACUUUAAUGAAGCACAAGCUUAUUAGCAGAAGGAAAAAACCAACGAUCAAGGAUCUCACAGCGGAAGAAAUGUGACAUUCUUCGAAUUACUCUGUGUGGAACAGAGUCUUCCCAUCAUUUUCCUUUACACUUGUAAAUUUCAGCCUCUGCUCUUGAGUUAUCCGAUGAGGAAACAAGAAGCAGCAUUUAUGUGGUGACCGAAAAAGACAUCGAAAGAGAUAUUUCUCUACAACAUACAAAUGAGAAUUCAUUGCAAACAUAAUGCAACAACAAAGAAUGCAAAUGUUCAGAUAUGGAGUGCUACAUCACACAGCAAUGGUUGAAUUCCCUGCUCCAUACUCAUGGCAAAUAUGAGCAUACAGCAGUGCAGCAGUGGCAAGAGAGGGUCAUCUGGCUUGGAAAUGCUGGGAAAGAUGCAGAGCACUGGCUUGCAUCCACAGUUCAAAGUACAGCCUGAGGUCACUGAUCUGGAGGUCUGCAGCCUGCUCCACCUCACUGGAGAUGUCCCAGAGCAGGACACAGAGCCUUUCCCGCGCCCACAUGUCUCCUAGGUUGCUGUGGAAUCACGCACUGCGAGCACAUGGUACCAGCCCAGGAGUGAGCUGCACCCUCAUGUGCCAGUAUUUGCUUUGCAAAUCUCCUGAGCCAGACCAUGAUGCUCUGCACCGGAGAGGCUUUGGUAGAUCUGGCCAGGGAGUGCUGCUUUCUAAUAAGAAGCCCCUGCUCAAGCAAGCUGAAAAAAAACCACCAACCAGCAGGUCUACAGACAGGCAGGCAGCUGGGAGGAUGCCCUGCCUCCAGCGCACUUGCUGCCAUG